GUUACUAUGACUUAAUGGUUAAAGUACUAGUGUGAAAUACUAGAAAUGUGAGUUCGAUUCUUACUAGUAACA
rnacentral:tRNA from 1 species